UGGGGAAUAUUGGACAAUGGGCGGAAGCCUGAUCCAGCAACGCCGCGUGAGGGAUGACGGCCUUCGGGUUGUAAACCUCUUUCAGUACCGACGAAGCGAAAGUGACGGUAGGUACAGAAGAAGGACCGGCCAACUACGUGCCAGCAGCCGCGGUAAUACGUAGGGUCCGAGCGUUGUCCGGAAUUAUUGGGCGUAAAGGGCUCGUAGGCGGUUUGUCGCGUCGGGAGUGAAAACAGCGGGCUUAACUCGUUGCUUGCUUUCGAUACGGGCAGACUAGAGGUAUGCAGGGGAGAAUGGAAUUCCUGGUGUAGCGGUGAAAUGCGCAGAUAUCAGGAGGAACACCGGUGGCGAAGGCGGUUCUCUGGGCAUUACCUGACGCUGAGGAGCGAAAAGUGUGGGGAGCGAACAGGAUUAGAUACCCUGGUAGUCCACACCGUAAAACGUUGGGCGCUAGGUGUGGGGUCCUUUCCACGGAUUCCGUGCCGUAGCUAACGCAUUAAGCGCCCCGCCUGGGGAGUACGGCCGCAAGGCUAAAAACUUAAAAGGAAUUGACGGGGUCA
rnacentral:rRNA from 1 species